AUUGAACGCUGGCGGCAGGCCUAACACAUGCAAGUCGAACGAGUGGCGGACGGGUGAGUAAUGUCUGGGAAACUGCCUGAUGGAGGGGGAUAACUACUGGAAACGGUAGCUAAUACCGCAUACCAUCAGAUGUGCCCAGAUGGGAGUUGCUAGUUGGUGGGGUAACGGCUCACCAAGGCGACGAUCCCGAGCUGGUCUGAGAGGAUGACCAGCAACACUGGAACGGAGACACGGUCCAGACUCCUACGGGAGGCGGCAGUGGGGAAUAUUGCACAAUGGGCGCAAGCCUGAUGCAGCCAUGCGGCGUGUAUGAGGAAGGCCUUCGGGUUGUAAAGUACUUUGAGCGGGGAGGCGGUACCCGCAGAAGAAGCACCGGCUAACUCCGUGCCAGCCGCCGCGGUAAUUC
rnacentral:rRNA from 1 species